UACGGGGGGGGCAAGCGUUGUUCGGAAUUACUGGGCGUAAAGGGCGCGUAGGCGGUUUGCUAAGACAGGUGUGAAAUCCCCGGGCUUAACCUGGGAACUGCGCUUGUAACUGGCAAGCUAGAGUGUGGCAGAGGGGGGUGGAAUUCCAGGUGUAGCAGUGAAAUGCGUAGAGAUCUGGAGGAACACCGAUGGCGAAGGCAGCCCCCUGGGCUAACACUGACGCUCAUGCACGAAAGCGUGGGGAGCAAACAGG
rnacentral:rRNA from 1 species